AUAUAUUCCAUACAAGUUAGCUGCAUUAUAUAUCAUCAAGAUUGUAAAAGAUAUGCAGCAAAUGAAAAACAAGCACAUGAAGAUAAUCAGACAAAUAGAAAAUAUAAAGACAGAAAACCAGGAGCAGACUGUAACUACUAUAAAGAAACAUUAUGGUGAGAAAAUGAGAAGUCUGAAAUCCCAGUUAGAUGCUUACCGGAAGCUGAUGAACAAGAGCAACACACACUGGCAAGAGAGAGUUAAGAGCCUGAAGGAAAGAAACAGACAACUGAUUCAAGAGAAGGAAGACCUUCUUCACCAAAUGAAGCAACAAACAGAGA
rnacentral:lncRNA from 1 species